CUAAGACUCGCAGUUAGAUGGCUUCGUCCAGCAUUCUCUCCCUCUCCUUCUUCUUCUUCUUCUUCUUCUCCCUUCUUGUCACCCUCUCCCAUGCCGCCACCUUCGAGAUCGUGAACCGAUGCUCUUACACAGUGUGGGCCGCGGCCGUGCCUGGCGGCGGACGCCAGCUCAACCAGGGGCAGUCGUGGACCAUCAACGUGAACGCGGGAACCACCGGCGGCCGCAUCUGGGGCCGCACCGGCUGCUCCUUCGACGGGAGCGGACGCGGGCGGUGCCAGACGGGCGACUGCGGCGGCGUGCUGUCAUGCACGGCGUACGGCAGCCCGCCCAACACCCUGGCGGAGUUCGCGCUCAACCAGUUCAACAACCUCGACUUCUUCGACA
rnacentral:lncRNA from 1 species